CUUCCUGUUUGUUUUUAUGGUGUUUCUCCCUGAGCUUACCUCUUCAGGAAAUGAAAUGCAGCUCUACCAGGUUAAAGUCUUGUGAUCUAUUUGAGCAGCAUAAAACUCUGCAGGGUGUCUUUUUGAUUUGGAUCAUUGCUUUUGGAGGUAAUUUAAUGAUGUCUCCUCCCCGGCGUUUCACAGAUGAGUUUGUUUGUUUUGGAUUAUGUCCAACUCUUUUCCUUCUCUGCGCCGGAGGCUACUCUUGUUCUCUUCAGACCAAAAAACCUCGAACCUGUUUCCCAUCCCUGCAUUUCCUUGUUAAUUCCAGUCUGGUCUGAUUCUUACAUGCAGAUGACCUGAUGAGACGGUAACAACAUCAGCCCUGCCCUGUGGAGGUGGGAUGUGAUGCCAAGGACUCUUGUUUGGUACUUCUUUAAUCAAAUGUCUGUUGUUGUCUUUGUCCGCCAUGUUCCACUUUCAUACGAUCAGGAUCAACUUCAGUAAUGAAACCUACAAACCUACACAUACUGGCUUUAAAACAGCGUUUGAGCAGUGUGGAGCAGAACCUUUUGGAAGACUUUAGACUGACUGCAUUUAGAAAGUAUUUAUUUAUAUCUUUAACUUUUUUAUUUAUGAAGUUUACAAUUUUUUCUUGACAUUUCAACUAUAUUUUUGAAAUGCUUCCAUACAUUUACUCUUCCAUGCUACAUUCCUGCUGGUGAUGUAGGAGCCUCUUGACAUUCCUCAGAGCUGCAGCAGAGUGUUUGCCUGUCAUGUGUCUGCUCAUGUUGGGCGGUGCAGCAGCAGCAGCAGAGGCUGGUGUGUCUUUACACUCAGUCAGGUGUCUCAGUGGCUGAGCAGCUUCUCGAGGAGGCAGACUACUCCUUGCUUGUUCUUGAUUUCAUAUUUUUGGGGUGGUUUGAUAGAUCAGAGUUUUUUUUAUGGCUCACCUGCGCUCCUGCUUUUCAACACACAUACUUUUAUUACCUGGGACUUGACUCUGGCUGAAGCAGCCAGCUCACCGGCAUCUGAUCCCGGGACAGGAAGUCUGACUCCUGACAGGGACGACGUUCACGUCGUAGGAUAUGAUGCAUUACAGGUGACACUGGGCUUAAGCUGCCGCAUCGGAUUCCGAUUGAUUGAUCGAUGGGCCGGACUCGAUGUUGAGGUGGAUAGAAUUUAGUUGAUCGUCUGAGCCGAGUCACAGAUCAUGGCUGGGAGAGGGACGGUCGAUCUGGCCCCUUCAGCCGCUGUCAAGGUCUUCUCAGCAGGAACAGCUGGCUGCAUGGCCGACUUGGUCACUUUCCCCCUGGACACAGCCAAAGUCAGGCUGCAGAUCCAAGGUGAAUCCAAGCCCUCGGUGGGAGUCCAGAGGGCGAGGUUCAGGGGGGUGUUUGGCACCAUCUACACCAUGGUGAAGACCGAGGGCGCCAGGAGUUUGUACAGUGGACUGGUGGCCGGGCUGCAGAGACAGAUGAGCUUCGCCUCGGUGCGGAUCGGCCUCUACGACACCAUCAAGCAGGUCUACAGCCGAGGAUCAGAGAACGUAGGAAUCGGGACUCGGCUGCUGGCGGGCUGCACCACGGGGGCCAUGGCGGUGGUGCUGGCUCAGCCCACUGAUGUGGUCAAAGUCAGGUUCCAGGCUCAGGGUCGCCUGCCGGAGGGCGGCUCCGCGAAGAGGUACAGCGGCACCAUCGACGCCUACAGGACCAUCGCCAGGGUUGAAGGCGUCAGAGGGCUCUGGAAAGGUGUUUUCCCAAAUAUAACUCGUAAUGCCAUCGUGAACUGCUCCGAGCUGGUGACGUAUGACAUCAUCAAAGAGCUCAUCCUGCAGCACAAACUGAUGACAGACAACAUGCCGUGUCACUUCACCGCAGGCUUCGCAGCAGGUUUCUGCACCACCAUCGUAGCGUCCCCAGUGGACGUGGUCAAAACCCGCUUCAUGAACUCAGUCCCCGGGCAGUACAGCGGUGCCAUGAACUGUGCCCUCACCAUGCUCAUUAAAGAGGGGCCCACAGCUUUCUAUAAGGGCUUUGUGCCCUCGUUUCUUCGCCUGGGUUCCUGGAACAUCGUGAUGUUUAUGAGCUACGAGCAGAUCAAGAGAGCGGUGGUGAGGUUUCAGCAGACCUGCUAGUCCUCGCUGGCUCCUGGGUGACAGCUGCUGAGGCACCGGAGCGAUGAAGCAGGACCUUCUUAAAGAGAGAGAGAGAGAGAGAGAGAGUCUGCUGCCGGUCUGGACCUGCUCCUCCUCAGGGAUGAAACUGUACAUCUGCACUUACUGUACUGUCCAUGAAGAGGCCCUCGAAAAACUACAGGUGUACGUCGGCUUUGCUGGAGCAUUUUAACGAGUCAUCACAGAGACGCUGAGGUGAAUGAGGCGAGAAGCACAAAACGAUGAGCUGACAGAUGAGAAAAUUGCCCAAUUUGAGUCUUGUGGGACAAAAGAGGCUGCAGACAAAAGAUGUAACUGAAGUCUGUGGUGUCACAUGAACACGCUCCGCCUUGCUUGUCAUCUCCUGUCGUGCCAGCGAGGUUCCUCCAUGGUUGAACUGGUAUGACAAGCUUUUCCCGGGCCAUAUGGCACCCUGGGUAACCCUCACCCAGAGUCUAGCUGAGUCAACCAGGAGGGAAACUUCAAAGACAGGGAACUAGUGAUACAUUUUACAGGAUUAUGGUAAAAGACUUCAAAUAUGUCCAGUUAAAUGUGAGGAUGAGGAGGGGUAAUGGUCAGAUUAUAGAAAAGAGGAGUUAAUGGUCCUUUGCUGACGUUGGCAGGACUUUGUGCUCGCUAAUGACCGGAGAUAUCAAGUUUCUGGGAAGUUCAAGUUCGCGGUUCUGUUCAGUAUUUUUCUGACACACAUGCUCUCACCGGUCAUGUUGUCUUUUGUUCAAUCAGCUGUUUACAAUCCAUGUCAUUGUUCAUUUAUGAGACCGAAGCGGUUCCCUCCUUUACGGUAGUAAACUAAUACAUUUAUAGAAGAGGAGUUUAGCUGAGUAACUCUUAAUGCACAAAAUGAUAACUAUUUGGGAAUUUCGGUCAAUAAAAGCAAUUGAUGGAGCAUGGUCAUGGACAAAGUUCUUCAUCAUUAAUUUGGGGGCCAUCGUUCAUUUUGCAGAUGCAGUGGAAACACAGGUAUUUAUGAUUUUUUUAUUCAACACAGAAUUCUUUCUUCAGGAUUGUUGAACAGAUUCGAUUUCUCUAUUAGUCUCGUAAGCAUAAAAAAUCCUAAUUAUUGUUAUUUAGAUGGAACUUCAAUCUUAUAUUAAAUGUAUCUUCCUUGUCUCUAAAUGCAGCCUCCUCAGUGUUACAGUAAAAGAUGUAUAGUGGUAGACAUCUUGUAUUUUAAAGAGUUUUGGUUAAUUUAGAAAAUCACAAAUUUCAAUAAGACAAACCGGUUUUUAAAAAAAGUUUCUGCAUCUCCAGAGUUUGUGUUGGAUUGGCUUGAAAUUAAGACUCAUAAAAAUACAGUCACGUUGACAAUUUCUAACCAAAACGUUCAGACUGGAUCAAGCGUCACUGUGGCGCCUGUUGAUGCCUCCUCUGCUUCACCUCCAGUGGCUCAAGACGGACGAGGACUGUCGGCCGCUUGGGGCCUCGUCCGUACUCUCCUGGACAAAAAGACUGAAAACACUUCGGUAAGUGUGGUAUGGAUAGAUAUCGGGCAGAGAAUCCAUGGUCACCAAAGGGCAGGAGAGCAGGGUGGCAGCAGGAGGGUAAGACGACAGCUGUGGUUAGACUGCACACUGCGGGGAGGCAGGGGUUGUAGACCUGCUCAGGAAAGAGCACUGAGAAACCCUGAGCUUCAGGGUGAAACUCUCUGAGUCUUGUUGUCUCUUCAUGUUGAAUCGUUUCCUCGAGUUUCUUCACCUCGAUCAACCUGAUGUGAUGACGUCUGCGCCGUUUGAGGAAAGAAUCCAAGAAAUGUUCCAUAUGCAUUUUCCUUUCAGCAAACCUCUGAAAGAGCAGCUGUCAGGAGACAUAUUUCAUUAUUGACCAUCAAUAUAUUAAACCUCUCAUUAGCUUCUGACAUUUUAAUGGUCUUGGCUUAAACCUGGUUGAUUUAGAUCUUAUUUAUCCGCUCUCCUGUUUCUCAGGUAUUGUCGUUAAGCCCAAAUGUUGCUGCUCUUCAAUCCUUUAAAGGAUGGUGGGUGUAAAAUCAUAUUACCUGACAACAGCUGGAUUUGACAGCUUCUUCUUUGAAACAAAUUAAUGUCAAGGUGCUUGAAUACAUCCUGACAUUAAGACAUUAUUAAUAUUUAAAAUUACAUUAGAGGCCAAUAUGCUGACUUUUAAAACAGAAGUGCAUCCUUACCUCACACUCCUCCUCUGCAUGAUUUAUCUUUUUCAGGAGACACAGUUGUGCAUAGUAAACACUGUAUUUCUCUGCUGCAGAAGGAGGAGAAACUAUCUUCACAAUGGCAAUGCAUAUUCAAAACAGCCAUAAGAGAAAAAAAAACUAUCAUAUUACAUUUAAGAACUCACCGAGUUGUUCUUGUUUGGCCUGUAUGAUGCUUCUGCGUCUUUCUAGUUCCUUGUAUUUCAUCGCGAGCAGCAGCUUAGCAUCUGAGAAUUUUGGUUUUUGGGAAAGACUGAACUUUGCCAAUCUUUGAUUUGAAGCCAGUGUCUUCUCCACAGCAUUCUGAAGUCCCUGAAACUGGAAACACACACACACUUUCAAAACUCCUGAAAGUUUUGCACUUUAGCCAAACCCUGCAAGAUCUAAAUACACAAUGCAUACACGUACAUACACAUUAUCCAUAUACUGUAAGUGGAAAUAUGUCUUUCUGUCUCUCACCUUCUCACUGCAGCUGAUGAUGUGAUGUAUUUUGUCUUCGUCCUCCAGCAGCUCCCGCAGCUCUCUGGUCCUCAAACCUCGGAGCUGAACCUGCGGCAGAGACAUGAUGACCCUCGGCUCUGGGAGCUCAGGCUUUGGUACCUGAUGCAAAGUGAGCUGUCAAUGCUGCAUUCAGGGACUGUCGGAAAAUCCCCACCAAAGAUAAGACCAGAGCACAUAUGAGCUUUAAUAGAACAAAGGUUUCUUCUUACAAACAUUACUGUUCAAAAGUUAAACACAUUGUUCUUGCUCAGUAUAGCUAUUGUAUUUUGUAUGUAGGUGUAAAUUGAAAAUUCUGCUUUCUGGGUAAUUACAAACACAACAACUGAAAGUUAGAGUCUCUCUUUGUCCUUUUCUUCAUUUAUUUGUGUUCAUUUUGUGCUUGAGAUCAUCCUCUGUCUCUUUUGGGUCAUUCUGUGUUUUUCUGUGGUUGUUUUAGUUCUUGAUUUUCAAAUAUUUUCAAUGCUGUUCUACAUUUUUCGAACUAGAAAUAUUUACUGGCACUUCUACAGAGGCAUAAACCACAUCACACAGGCAGGUGAUAAAUAAAAGAAUAAAACACAACAUGUAUCUAAACAAUA